rnacentral:rRNA from 1 species
GACGAACGCUGGCGGCGUGCUUAACACAUGCAAGUCGAACGGAAAGGCCCUGCUUUUGUGGGGUGCUCGAGUGGCGAACGGGUGAGUAACACGUGAGUAACCUGCCCUUGACUUUGGGAUAACUUCAGGAAACUGGGGCUAAUACCGGAUAGGAGCUCCUGCUGCAUGGUGGGGGUUGGAAAGUUUCGGCGGUUGGGGAUGGACUCGCGGCUUAUCAGCUUGUUGGUGGGGUAGUGGCUUACCAAGGCUUUGACGGGUAGCCGGCCUGAGAGGGUGACCGGCCACAUUGAGACUGAGAUACGGACCAGACUCCUACGGGAGGCAGCAGUGGGGAAUAUUGCACAAUGGGCGGAAGCCUGAUGCAGCAACGCCGCGUGCGGGAUGACGGCCUUCGGGUGGUAAACCGAUUUCGCCUGUGACGAAGCGUGAGUGACGGUAAUGGGUAAAGAAGCACCGGCUAACUACGUG